rnacentral:rRNA from 1 species
UACAGAGGGUGCGAGCGUUGUUCGGAUUUACUGGGCGUAAAGGGCGCGUAGGCGGCGCAACAAGUCACUUGUGAAAUCUCCGGGCUUAACUCGGAACGGUCAAGUGAUACUGUUGUGCUAGAGUGCGGAAGGGGCAACUGGAAUUCUCGGUGUAGCGGUGAAAUGCGUAGAUAUCGAGAGGAACACCUGCGGCGAAGGCGGGUUGCUGGGCCGACACUGACGCUGAUGCGCGAAAGCCAGGGGAGCGAACGGG